CGCGGGGUGGAGCAGUCUGGUAGCUCGUCGGGCUCAUAACCCGAAGGUCGCAGGUUCAAAUCCUGCCUCCGCAA
rfam:Bacillus sp. OV166 genome assembly, contig: Ga0115450_12